UGGGGAAUUUUCCGCAAUGGGCGAAAGCCUGACGGAGCAACGCCGCGUGGGUGAUGAAGUCUUUCGGGACGUAAAACCCUUUCAGCAGGGACGAACACAAUGACGGUACCUGCAGAAGAAGCAUCGGCUAACUACGUGCCAGCAGCCGCGGUAAUACGUAGGAUGCAAGCGUUGUCCGGAUUUAUUGGGCGUAAAGCGAACGUAGGCGGUUUCUUAAGUUUGGUCUUAAAGACCGGGGCUCAACCCCGGGAAUGGAUCGAAUACUGGGAGACUGGAGGAUGGUAGAGGAAGGUGGAAUUCCCAGUGUAGCGGUGAAAUGCGUAGAUAUUGGGAGGAACACCGGUGGCGAAAGCGGCCUUCUGGGCCAUUCCUGACGCUGAGGUUCGAAAGCUCGGGGAGCAAACAGG
rnacentral:rRNA from 1 species